rnacentral:lncRNA from 1 species
AGUACUAAUGAUGCAGUUCAACAGCGACAUAGAAAGCACCGAUGGCUUACAACCUCACCCCAAAACAGGACGGCAAAGCAACAUGUAGUUAAAGAUAGGCGGCAGAGGAGACGGAUCCUCCGUCGAGCGGACGAGCAGAUCAGUAGUCGUCGUCCUCCUCGCCAUCCUCGUCGUCGCCGCCCUCUGCGCCGACCUCCUCGUAGUCCUUCUCCAGGGCGGCCAGGUCCUCACGGGCCUCCGAGAACUCGCCCUCCUCCAUGCCCUCGCCCACGUACCAGUGGACGAAGGCGCGCUUGGCGUACAUGAGGUCGAACUUGUGGUCAAUGCGGGAGAAGACCUCGACGACGCUGGUGGAGUUGGAGAUCAUGCAGACGGCCCUCUGCACCUUGGCCAGGUCGCCGCCGGGCACCACAGUGGGCGGCUGGUAGUUGAUGCCGCACUUGAACCCCGUGGGGCACCAGUCCACGAACUGGAUGGUGCGCUUGGUCUUGAUGGUGGCAACGGCCGCGUUCACGUCCUUGGGCACCACGUCGCCCCGGUACAUGAGGCAGCACGCCAUGUACUUGCCGUGGCGAGGGUCACACUUGGCCAUCAUGGACGACGGCUCGAACGCGCUGUUGGUGAUCUCCGACACCGACAGCUGCUCGUGGUACGCCUUCUCCGCCGAGAUGACCGGCGCGUAGGACGAGAGCAUGAAGUGGAUCCUAGGGUACGGCACAAGGUUGGUCUGGAACUCGGUCACGUCCACGUUCAGGGCACCAUCAAACCUCAGGGAGGUGGUCAGAGAUGAGAUAACCUACACACAGACAAACAGCUCAAGUUCCAUGUCAGUCUCACAUCACACAUUGCACAACAGUACUGGUACAGCAAAGAAAUACUUCAAUCCGGAUGAAAGAAUUGGGCAAUGGCGGGUGGUCAGUACCUGAGAGACGAGGCGGUUCAG